CAUGCAAGUCGAACGGACUUAACCGUUAGUUUACUAAUGGAGCGGUUAGUGGCGGACUGGUGAGUAACACGUAAGCAACCUGCCUAUCAGAGGGGAACAACAGUUAGAAAUGACUGCUAAUACCGCAUAUGCCUUAGCAACACAUGUUGCAAAAGGGAAAGGAGCAAUCCGCUGAUAGAUGGGCUUGCGUCUGAUUAGAUAGUUGGUGGGGUAACGGCUUACCAAGUCAACGAUCAGUAGCCGGACUGAGAGGUUGAACGGCCACAUUGGGACUGAGAUACGGCCCAGACUCCUACGGGAGGCAGCAGUCGGGAAUAUUGCGCAAUGGAGGAAACUCUGACGCAGUGACGCCGCGUGCAGGAAGAAGGUUUUCGGAUUGUAAACUGCUUUAGACAGGGAAGAAUAAAGACAGUACCUGUAGAAUAAGCUCCGGCUAACUACGUGCCAGCAGCCGCGGUAAUACGUAGGGAGCAAGCGUUAUCCGGAUUUAUUGGGUGUAAAGGGUGCGUAGACGGGAAAUUAAGUUAGUUGUGAAAUCCCUCGGCUUAACUGAGGAACUGCAACUAAAACUGGUUUUCUUGAGUGUUGGAGAGGAAAGUGGAAUUCCUAGUGUAGCGGUGAAAUGCGUAGAUAUUAGGAGGAACACCAGUGGCGAAGGCGACUUUCUGGACAAUAACUGACGUUGAGGCACGAAAGUGUGGGGAGCAAACAGGAUUAGAUACCCUGGUAGUCCACACCGUAAACGAUGGAUACUAGGUGUAGGGUGUGAUAAACAUUCUGUGCCGUCGCAAACGCA
rnacentral:rRNA from 1 species